CCUACGGGCGGCAGCAGUGGGGAAUAUUGCACAAUGGGGGAAACCCUGAUGCAGCGAAGCCGCGUGAGUGAAGAAGUAUUUCGGUACGUAAAGCUCUAUCAGCAGGGAAGAAAAUGACGGUACCUGACUAAGAAGCACCGGCUAACUACGUGCCAGCAGCCGCGGUAAUACGUAGGGGGCAAGCGUUAUCCGGAUUUACUGGGUGUAAAGGGAGCGUAGACGGCAGCGCAAGUCUGGAGUGAAAUCCCAUGGCUUAACCAUGGAACUGCUUUGGAAACUGUGCAGCUAGAGUGCAGGAGAGGUAAGCGGAAUUCCUAGUGUAGCGGUGAAAUGCGUAGAUAUUAGGAGGAACACCAGUGGCGAAGGCGGCUUACUGGACUGUAACUGACGUUGAGGCUCGAAAGCGUGGGGAGCAAACAGGAUUAGAUACCCCAGUAGUC
rnacentral:rRNA from 1 species